AUGAUCACACUAUCACAUCAUCAUACUCCCUCACCACUCAGAAGACGCUUACAGUUAAUGGAUGAAAUUAUUGAGCUUGGUGAGAUGCGUUUAGAGCUGUUUCGUCUCAUUAACAACAUCCAAGAAGCCAUCGAUGCGGAAAGAAAAAGGAAAAUCGCAAUCUUGAUGUCAUUUAGAUAGCAGGUACCACAACCUUGCUAUGCUCAUGUCAUGAAUAGAUCAAAAUCAGUCUUUAGGUCAUUACAGAUAGGGACAGCCAGCAGUUGA
rnacentral:lncRNA from 1 species